rnacentral:rRNA from 1 species
GAUGAACGCUGGCGGCGUGCCUAAUACAUGCAAGUCGAGCGAACGGACGCGGAUCUUGCUUCGCUGAUGUUAGCGGCGCACGGGUGAGUAACACGUGGAUCACCUACCUAUCAGACUGGGAUCACUUCGGGAAACCGGCGCUAAUACCGGAUGAUAUUUUGAACCGCAUGGUUCAAAAGUGAGAGACGGUCUUGCUGUCACUUAUAGAUGGAUCCGCGCUGCAUUAGCUAGUUGUUAAGGUAACGGCUUACCAAGGCAACGAUGCCUAGCCGACCUGAGAGGGUGAUCGGCGGCACGGGAGCGUAGACACGGACCAGGCGCCUAAGGGAGGCAGCAGUAGGGAAUCUGACGCAAUGGGCGAAAGCCUUGCGGAGCAAGGGCGCGUGAGUGAUGAAGGUCUUCGGAUCGGGAUACUCUGUUAUUAGGGAAGAACAUAUGUGUAAGUAACUGUGCACAGCUUGACGGUACCGAAUCAGAAAGCCACGGCUAACUACGUG